AGAGUUUGAUCAUGGCUCAGAUUGAACGCUGGCGGCAGGCCUAACACAUGCAAGUCGAACGGUAACAGGAAUCAGCUUGCUGAUUCGCUGACGAGUGGCGGACGGGUGAGUAAUGUCUGGGAAACUGCCUGAUGGAGGGGGAUAACUACUGGAAACGGUAGCUAAUACCGCAUAAUGUCGCAAGACCAAAGAGGGGGACCUUCGGGCCUCUUGCCAUCGGAUGUGCCCAGAUGGGAUUAGCUUGUUGGUGGGGUAACGGCUCACCAAGGCGACGAUCCCUAGCUGGUCUGAGAGGAUGACCAGCCACACUGGAACUGAGACACGGUCCAGACUCCUACGGGAGGCAGCAGUGGGGAAUAUUGCACAAUGGGCGCAAGCCUGAUGCAGCCAUGCCGCGUGUAUGAAGAAGGCCUUCGGGUUGUAAAGUACUUUCAGCGGGGAGGAAGGGAGUAAAGUUAAUACCUUUGCUCAUUGACGUUAUCCGCAGAAGAAGCACCGGCUAACUCCGUGCCAGCAGCCGCGGUAAUACGGAGGGUGCAAGCGUUAAUCGGAAUUACUGGGCGUAAAGCGCACGCAGGCGGUUUGUUAAGUCAGAUGUGAAAUCCCCGGGCUCAACCUGGGAACUGCAUCUGAUACUGGCAAGCUUGAGUCUCGUAGAGGGGGGUAGAAUUCCAGGUGUAGCGGUGAAAUGCGUAGAGAUCUGGAGGAAUACCGGUGGCGAAGGCGGCCCCUGGACGAAGACUGACGCUCAGGUGCGAAAGCGUGGGGAGCAAACAGGAUUAGAUACCCUGGUAGUCCACGCCGUAAACGAUGUCGACUUGGAGGUUGUGCCCUUGAGGCGUGGCUUCCGGAGCUAACGCGUUAAGUCGACCGCCUGGGGAGUACGGCCGCAAGGUUAAAACUCAAAUGAAUUGACGGGGGCCCGCACAAGCGGUGGAGCAUGUGGUUUAAUUCGAUGCAACGCGAAGAACCUUACCUGGUCUUGACAUCCACGGAAGUUUUCAGAGAUGAGAAUGUGCCUUCGGGAACCGUGAGACAGGUGCUGCAUGGCUGUCGUCAGCUCGUGUUGUGAAAUGUUGGGUUAAGUCCCGCAACGAGCGCAACCCUUAUCCUUUGUUGCCAGCGGUCCGGCCGGGAACUCAAAGGAGACUGCCAGUGAUAAACUGGAGGAAGGUGGGGAUGACGUCAAGUCAUCAUGGCCCUUACGACCAGGGCUACACACGUGCUACAAUGGCGCAUACAAAGAGAAGCGACCUCGCGAGAGCAAGCGGACCUCAUAAAGUGCGUCGUAGUCCGGAUUGGAGUCUGCAACUCGACUCCAUGAAGUCGGAAUCGCUAGUAAUCGUGGAUCAGAAUGCCACGGUGAAUACGUUCCCGGGCCUUGUACACACCGCCCGUCACACCAUGGGAGUGGGUUGCAAAAGAAGUAGGUAGCUUAACCUUCGGGAGGGCGCUUACCACUUUGUGAUUCAUGACUGGGGUGAAGUCGUAACAAGGUAACCGUAGGGGAACCUGCGGUUG
rnacentral:rRNA from 1 species